UACGUAGGUGGCAAGCGUUGUCCGGAUUUACUGGGUGUAAAGGGCGUGUAGCCGGGUUGACAAGUCAGAUGUGAAAUCCUGCGGCUUAACCGCAGAACUGCAUUUGAGACUGUUGAUCUUGAGUACUGGAGAGGCAGACGGAAUUCCUAGUGUAGCGGUGAAAUGCGUAGAUAUUAGGAGGAACUCCGAUUGCGAAGGCAGCGUACCGGCGCCCAACUGACGCUGAAGCACGAAGGCGUGGGUAUCGAACAGG
rnacentral:rRNA from 1 species